rnacentral:rRNA from 1 species
GUCUCAAAAUAAACUCUGGGGGCGUGUCUAACACAUGCAAGUCGAGAGAAAAAGUUCCUUCGGGAGCGAGUACAGCGGCAGACGGGUUAAUAACGCGUGAAAAUCUCCCCUUUAGUGGGAAAUACCUCCGAAAAAUCAGAUAUAAUCCCGCGUGUGCCCGUAUAGCAAUAUAUGGAUAAAGAUGGUCUCUUUGCUCUCUCUAGGGGAAGAGUUUGCACUCUAUCAUCUAGGGGGGAGGAAAAAGGCCCACCAGGGCUAUCACGGUUACCCGGCCUGAGAGGGUGUUCGGCCACUCUGGAUCUUACACACGGCCCACACUCCUACGGGGGGCAGCAGGGGGGAAUCUUGCACAGUGGGCGCAAGCCUGAUGCAGCCACCCCGCGUGAAAGAUGAGGGCCUACGGGGUGAAAACUUCUGUUAAGUGGGAAAAAAGACUCUUUUUAAAUAAAAACGAGAGAUGACUUCCCCUUUAAAGAAAGCCCCGGAUAAACUCGUGCCAGCACCCGCGGAUAUACGAGGGGUGCGAGCGUUAUUCAGACUCUCUGGGCGUAGGGGGUGUGUAGGCGGCAUAUCAAGUCUAUUGAUAUAUAUCCCGGCUUACCCGGAGAUAUGCUAUGGAUACUGAUAUCUAUAGAGGGUGGAAGAGAGAAGUGGAACUCUCAGAGUAGCGAAAAGUGCGUAUAUCUCGAGAGGCACACCGAUGGAGAGCGCAGUCUCGUGGCCCAUCCUGACUCUGACACACGAACGCGUGGAGAGCAC